ACAAGUGUUGGUAAGGAUGUGGAGAAAUUGGAACUUUUCCUGAUGAGAAUGUAAAAUAGCGCAGCUGCUACGGAAAAGUUUUGUAGUUCCUCAAAAAGUUAAACACAGAAUUACCAUAGGACCUAGCAAUUCCACUCCCAGGUGUAUACCCAAAAGACUUGAAUGCAAGAGUGCAAACAGAUACUUGUACACCAAUAUUCAUUGCAGCAUUAUUCACAAUAACUGAAAGGUGGAAACAACCCGUGUGUCCAUGAAUUAAUAAACAAAAUGUGGUAUAUACAUACAAUGGAAUAGUAUUCAGCUAUAAAGAGAGAUGAAGUUUUGACACAUGUUACCACAUCGAUGAACCCCCAAAACGUUAUGCUAAGUGAAAUAAGCCAGAUGCAAAAGGGGGAAUAUUGUAGGACCUCACUUACACAAAUAUCUAAAAUAGGGAAAUGCAUAGAGACCAAAGUGGAUUAAUGGUUACCCGGAACUGGAGGGAAAGGAGAAUGAGAAGUUAUUGCUUAAUGGGUACUGGUUUCUGUUUGGGGUGAUUAAAAAGUUUUGCAAAUAGCCAGGGGUGAUGGUUAUACAACCUUGUGAAUGUAAUUAAUGUCAUUGAAUUGUAAACUUAAAAGCGGUUAGAAUGGCAAACUUUCUGUCAUAUAUUUUUUCCACAAUAAAAAAAAAUUUUUUUGUUUUUUAAUUUAUAGGGACGCUCACUAUUGGCCAUAGCAAACCAAAUGGAACCAACAAAUAGGUUUGUACUGGCUCAAGCUACGUCAUGUCUGCCGGGGCUCCCUCACUGUACCUGACCACCACUCCCCAGUUUGACCUAUUUUAGCCGAGCUGGACCCACAAAGGAAAGCUUGGUGGCGUAGUGGCUAAGAGCUAUGGCUGCUAACCAAAAUGUCGGCAGUUUGAAUCCACCAGGUGCUCCUUGGGAACUCUAUGGGGCAGUUAUACUCUGUCCUAUAGGGUCGCUACGAGUCGGAAUCGACUCAACGGCAACAGGUUUUUUAGUUUUCUAGACCCACAAAAUUUGUCUAAGCUACAUAAACCAAUGUAGUUGGUUUAAACCAUUUUGAGCUGGUACUACCAGUACCCAGAUUCCAACUGAGCUGGUACUGGCUAGUUGCAUUCGUCCUAAACCAGCUGAAACCACUUUGGAUUAGCUGAAAUCAGACUCAACCCAAGAGUCAAAUGGUGUGCCCCCAAACAGCCCAAAGGGAAGUGCAAGCUGAGAUUCUAAAUGAAACAAUAAAUAGGAAGUCUAGGUGGCUCCAGCUGGAUUAGACUUGUUAGGACAGACGAACAUUUUGCAGUUGAGGACAGAGAGAAAGUGGAGGGCACAGACACUCCCCAAGCCCUGCUCCUGCCGCAGCUCUUGGAGUGCCUCUGUGGAAACCUAGGACUCCAAGAAACAGAGGUCAUUUGGGAGAGCUAUGGAAGUAAGGAGGAGGAGGCAGUGUGUGGACUACUCUCCUGAGAACCCAAAGGUUGGAGGUUUGAGUCCACCCACAGGUGCUUUAGAAGAAAGGCCUGGUGAUCUAUUUCCAAAAAAUCAACCAUCGAAAACUCUAUGGAACGUGGUUCUACUCUGAUACACUUGGGAUCACCAUGAGUCAGAAUCAGCUUGAUUAUGACUAGUGGUUGAGGAUCCUUUUUAGACAUUUUUUCCAUACAUAUACCGUAUAUCUGCUUUAUGUACUAUAUGCAUAUCUGUGCUUUAUAGAUAAAAAGUGUAAGUUUUUUUGUCCCUCAAGAACAGUUUUUCUCCCUUGGGGAUGAUAUCACCCACACUGAGAACGCAUUGCCUAAGUCUAACCAGGAGAGUAAAUCCAAGGGUCUAUUUGGUCACCUUUAGCUGACCAAGUACCUGUCUUUCACAGUUGCUUAAUCUUCUGUUCUACUGUUUCUGAAGUAACUAUGGUGCAACAAGAGGUGUUAGCUAUUUCAUAGACUUUGUCUUGACUGAUUGUCUAAAUUAAUCCUAAAUAAUAAAAAUUACCUGUACUUGAUUUGCUAGUCCAUGGAGCCUUAAAGUUUGAGUUAUCUUAGUUUCUAUUUGAGUCAUGGUUAGAAAUAAAUCACACAUUAUAUUUUUUGUUUAGGGGUUUUUAGUUAGAGUGGAGAUAUCUGAAAAAAUCAGCAACAUUCAGUGUCCUGAAUCCCUUCUGAUCAGUACCAUCUCGGGCUCUUAAUGAAAUGUCUUAAUGAAAUGGACAGUUUUUAUUCGAAUGCUGCGAAAGGCCAGGUAACAAAUUUUACAGUAAGAAAUUGUCAGUGGAACAAAGGACAAAAAUAAGGUAAAUACAAUAGGCCAGAAGUAAAAGGGGGAAGACAAAUAAUAAAAUUUAAGUCCAAAUGUAAAUCUGUUGUCUUGCUUUGAAUCUUGAUUUGAGGAUCUUAGAAGAAAGCUUUCUACUCCCAAUGUCAUCUUCUCAAUCCACAGAAUCCAGGGAAGAAAUUGUCUACUUUUUAGUGAACCUCAGGGUCAGCUCUCCACUGGGACUGGAUGUCCUCGUUAUGAGGUACUUGGGAUGUUUACACUGGAGGUAUCUUCUCUUGGGCGUGUGCCUAGAUUUUAAGUGUAGUAUUUGUAGUUAAAAGUAUUGAAUUGAUCCUUUCCAGGGUGGUGUUAAGGCUGAUUUUUACUGGUGUCUUUUCCAAUUAACCUACUCUUCUAGCUACAUAUCAUGUGUGUGUGUAUCUGGUGAUGUUUUCUUUGGAAAGAUAGCUUGAAUUUGUCAGGUAUGUAAUGUCUCGGGCUGUACCCCUGAGAAUACCCACAUCUGCAACUGGGUGAACACCGUGACUGUUUGGAUGGAAGAACACUCUGAGGCUGGAGAGAACAUCUGCAAAGACUCCUCUAAGACAAUGGUAGCAACAGCCAGAACUGGUUGCCUAAUUUGGGUAACUCCUUGACCCAGUAAUUUCAUCUCAAAAAUUUUCCCUGAAGAAAACUCAGAUGAUGCCAAAAUAUACAUACCAAGAUAUAAUAGUAAGAGUAAAAGAUACACUGUAAUAGUUAAAAAUUGGUUAAUGCAUGUUAUAUCUGUACAGUGGAAUAUUACAGAGCUGUUAAAUAAGAACAAAGUAGUGUCACAUACAAUGACAUGAAAAAGUAUCCAUCAUAUAUUUAAUGAAGACCAAACGUUGUAAUAAUAGUAGCCAACAUGUAUGGAGUGCUUACUACAUGCUAGGUGUGGUUUUAAGAGCUUUACAUAUAUCAUGUCAGUUAACUAUCACAACAAACCUUCGAGGUAGGUAACACCAUCUCCAUUUUACAGAUGAGAAAAUUGAGUCAAAGGAAGGUUGAGUACUGUGCCCCAGGUCACACCACUGGUAAGUGGGAGAUUUGGGAUUUGAACUUAAACAGUCUGACUCCAGAAUUGUACUUGUUUUUUCCCCUUUCAGCAAAUAUUUUAUUGCUCGCAUCUGUGUGCCAGACUCUGUUGCAGGUGCUGGGGAUAUGGCAAAAAAGGCAAAGCUCUUGCCGUUGUUGACUUACAUUCUGCUGGAGGUUGGUGAGGAAGAUAGAAAGUGCCUCAACAACAAAUGCUCCAUAGCAGAGCCUAUACUUUUAACCCUGUUCUAAACUACCUCUCAGAACAGUGGAUGGUAUGAUCUCAUUGUUGUGUUUAGAACUAUCAACUCUAUUCCAAUCUUCCCAUCUCUCUAUUGCUAUUCAUCUUAAUCUCUGCCUUUACCUAUUUCUUCUGGUUUCUAUAUGCAACGGAGAAAAUACAGAAAGACACACUCAGAACCAUAACAGUGGUUAUUUCUGAGAAAUGAAAUUGGGAAGGAGGGUUUUCCUGUUUAUUCUACAUACAACUGAGGCAAAGAGAGAUUAAGUAACAUGCCAAAGGUCGCACAACUGGUAGGUGGCAGAACUGGGACCCUGUCUCUGGUUAUGAACACUGCACUGCACACACCACAUUUCCAUUCAUGACUAGGACUGUCCUCUGCCUUUCUCAACCCUUCUGGCAAUGCCGCAGCCUCCAGACUUCCAACCAGACUUUCCCCUGAAAAGCCCCCGUGUCGUCACUGCCUUCCUCCUGGCUCCGUGGUGAGACAGAAUUAGAACUUGACUCAUGGUGGGAGGUGGUGGUGAUGGCUGCAGAAGAGGAGAAGUAACUUUCAACUUCUAGGAACUGACUUUGAAAAUCAGAUAGGACAAGGGGCUGAGUCACUGGCAGGGCCUCCCGUGGCUGAGUUUUAAUCAGGUCAGAUGGUGGGGGCAGUGUGGGGUUGGGGUGGUACGGCAGAGGGCUCCAGUUUCACUUCCUCUCUUGAGGCCCAGGCUCUUCAAUAUUGGCCCUGUCUCAUCCAUGACGAGGACUUGCCCAGCAGGUGUCAGGCAGGCCAGCUGGGCAGCUGGGGUGGGCUAAAUUUAGGUCCUAGAAUGUCAAAGCCAUUUAGGAUCCAAAGUUUCAUUUUGCAGAUAAAGAAACUGAGUCCAAGUGAGGUCAAGAGACUUGUCCAAGGUCACAUAGCCAGUUAAAGUCACAGUUGGAACUUAAAACCAGGCCUCUCCAAAAGUCACCACGUGACUCUAAAAUGUGUGCUUUUCUCAAUACACCCCACUGCCAACUCAGGGCACUGUCCCGAGGCCAGCCCUCAGCCAGGGUAGGGGGUGCAGGCAAGGACACAGCUCUGUAUCUUAGACCUAACACUGGUUUUGGACACGGACAUCUGGUUUCCAGUCCUGGCUCUACCCCUUACCAUAUGGCUUUAGGCAAUGACUUCAUCUCUCUUUGUUGUUGUUAGUUGCUGUCAAGUGGAUUCCGACUCACAGUGACCUCACGUGUUAGAGUAGAACUGCUCUGAAUGGUUUUCUUGGCUGUAAUCUUAACGAAGAACUCCACUCUAGGUUGGUGAAUCCACCCAGAGGCACCUUGGAAGACAGUCCUGCCGAUCUACUUCUGAAAGAUCAGAGCCUUGAAAAUCUUACGGAGCAGUCCUUCUACCCUGCAUGCAUGGGGUCCCCAUGAGUCAGAAUCGACUUUACAGCAUCUAACAACAACAAACAAAUCUUAAGGUAAGCAGACUGCCAGGUCUUUUCUUCUGGGGUACUGCCGGGUGGGUUCGAACCACCAACCUUUAGGUUUGCAGUCAAGCACCAAUCAUUUGUACUACCUAGGAACCUUCAACUCUUUAAAAUGAGCGUUAAAGGAUAUUGUUGGAUUCAAGAAGUGAAUGUAUGCACAAUUGCCUGGAAUAUAGUAGAUACCCAAUAUAUGGAAAUUCCUUUUUCUUUCUACAGUGAUUCCCUAGCCGACUUUGGCAGAAUCCUGUGCUCUUUGACAAUGUCUCAGGGGUCCUGGUGGGAGAGAAUGAAGAGAAAGGCAGAGCAAAUUGGGCUUAGAGCCCCUCCACCCACCACCCGCUGUGCACACAACCAGAGUAUUUUUAUUUUGUCUGUCUGUUAACCAGAAUAUUUUUCUUUAUCUACUUUAUUUUGGAGUUCUGUCUAAAAUUUUGGGUUUGAAAAUGAUUCUAUUACAAACUUUCUGACAGUCAACAACUGCCUUAAGGUUGAAAAUUCUGAGAAGACCUCCUAUAAUCACAGAAAAACAAGAAUACCAGUGCUGCUUUUACAUCUAUGAGAUUGCAUUUGAUUGCUGGCUUCCUUGGGCAGUAGGAGUCUGGGGGGAGACACUGUGUUCCCACCCAAUUGCCAUGGCCCACUUUCGUCCUUGCUAAUGGCACCCUGACUUUGGUUGACCGUUGGGCACUCUGUGAUUCACAGAGCCCCUUCCUUGCCCCAAGGAGGGAGGAAAGGUUCACGAAUCUGAACCAAUCAUGGUGAUCCAUUCCUCUUGCCAGGGACUGGUUUGGGCAUGGGUGGCAGAGCUGUGACAUGACCCCGCCUAUUACACAGAAGUUAAUGGGAGAGAUGAGCUUCUGGGGAAAGAGGCCCUCUUCAAUUAAAAAAAAAGGUACAUGAAGAAAAAUGUUGGCAGUGGUGUCCUUUCCAUACCUGUUCUAGGCUAAGUCCUGGCCACCCAGCUUCCUUUUGCUCCUGCCCACUGUCUAAGCCCGAUUCCUCAGCCAGGCCUCCUAAAGAUUCCGGGACCUGCACAGCAUCCUUUCAAUACCUUGCUUUUCUCCUUCCAUCGGUCAGAAUUGGUUUCAGGUGUCUGCACAGAAGGUCCCAUCAGGUCCUGGCAUCUUAGUGGAGAUAUCAGGCAUGCCGUUGGGCUUAGGGGAGCAACCGGGGCCUGAAACAUACAUUUCAAAACCAUACAGAUGAGAUUUAAAACCAUGGAAUCAGGUGAAAACACCUGGGAAGAGAGAAAACUCUGCGGGAUAGUGUUAACCUGCAGUCCUCGUGAGAAAUACAGGUGUGAAGUCACUGAUACUUGGGGGAGGGUGGGAAAGGGCUGUUUGUUAUGCAAUAUUUAGUAUAAUAUUUAUAAUAAUAGUGACAUAUAUUGAAUACUUCUUAUUGUAAAACACUUUCUCUCUAUAUAUAUAGUCUCUAAUCCUAGUAAAAAAAAAAAAAAUUGCGACCUAGGGAUUAUUACUUCCAUUUUAGAGAUGAACAAACUGAGGCUCAAAGAGGUGAAGAAACAACUAGCCAAAGUCACACUUGGAGUGGCAGAGCUGGGAUUCAACCUGAAGUCUGUCUGAGUCCAAAGCUCUUCACCCCACGUCUGAGCCCUCCUGUCUCCUCCCCUUCCCCCUCCCCAUCUCUCGCCUUCAUUCUCUACUAGCAUCAGUCUGAAGUGCAACCUGUUGGCCGCAACUGACAUAGGUAAUAUUUAAUUCACUUUAAUUAAAAUACAUUUUAGUGGAUUUUUUCUUUCCCUGGGACAUAACUCACUUUGAUGGGAACCCAUUGAAUUUUAACGGGAAACCUAUUAAAGGAACAUAUUGUGAUCUUUAAUGAAGCUGGGCUGCGAUUCUGUGGAGAACCACCUACAGGUAAUUAGAAGCCCUCCAGGCCAUUUGGGAAUAAGGUGAAAUGAACUUCAGUUUGUUUAAGACAAUUAGUGCAGACAAAGAUCUGGGAAUGAAUUAAAUGGUCCUUGAUUAAGAGCAGCUGUGCAGGUGGCGUUCUCAGGAAAAUGGGACAAGUAAGUGGGGCCUUUAAGAAAAAGUAAUUAUUAGUGCUUAUCUGUUUAUAUUGGCAGUUGGUACUUCCACCAGGCUGUUGGUUUUGAUCAAGUGGCUCCACCUCCCCCCAACUCUCCCUGCUGCCCUCCCUUAUUGAUACACAACUCCUUCUGGGUCUGCUGGUUAUCUCAAGGGGCCUUUCUGCCUCUGGCAGCAGAUAGGUGUAACCACACUGGCACCCUCCCACAGGUAGGUGCUUCCAUUUUGACAGGCACUUGUACGCUGGUUCAGAUAGAUACUUUCAUGCUGGCAAGAUGGGGAGCCUCCAUGUCCUCAAGGAUGGAUGUUUCUACACUAGCAGGAAUGGGUAUUUCUAUGCUCAUAGGGAUGCAUGUUUUAUAUCUGCAGCCCUAGGAGCCACUGUCCUCCUUAAAGGAGGCAUUUCUCCAGCUCUAGGCUGGACUCGUCCACGCUGGAAUCCUGGGCACCUCCACAGUGGGAGGAAUGAUAAUAAAGAACUGACAGUGCCAAAUUGCUUUAUGCUCUAGAGGGAAGCACGUUUCUGCUUGGGCUGAAUGAGGGCCUUUGUACAUGCAGGGAGGGUACGUAUUUGCUGGAAGAAUGGGAGGACUGCUUGGAAGAAGGGACAUUUCAACUGAGUCAUGAUGGAAGUUAACAAGGGGGCAUUCCUAUAUUGACAGGAAUGGAGAGCCCACUUCACAAGUAUGAAUGCUUCUACACUGAUAGGAAUGAAAGCCUCUGCAGUGUUUGUGCUGGGCAUAUCGACCAGGACAGGCAGGGGUAUGAUUAUCCUUAAAGAACCGGUCCCUGGAUCCUACCACUUUCCACCCUGCUGCCAUUGUUCCCACGAAACAAAGGAUAAACCCUUGUAAAUAAACAGAAGCCAGGCUCUUCUAAAAGUAGAGCGAAAAACAGUUUUGAAAUUAAACAAUUCUGUAAGAGCAAUGAACUCCUCGGAAUAUACCCUAGAGAUACAAGAGCCUUCACACAAACAGAUAUAUGCACACCCAUGUUUAUUGCAGCUCUGUUUACAAUAGCAAAAAGCUGGAAGCAACUAAGGUGUCCAUCAACGGAUGAAUGGGUAAAUAAAUUGUGGUAUAUUCACACGAUGGAAUACUACGCAUCGAUAAAGAACAGUGACGAAUCUGUGAAACGUUUCAUAACAUGGAGGAACCUGGAAGGCAUUACGCUGAGCGAAAUUAGUCAGAGGCAAAAGGACAAAUAUUGUAUAAGACCACUGUUAUAAGAUCUUGAGAAAUAGUAAAAACUGAGAAGAACACAUACUUUUGUGGUUAC